rnacentral:rRNA from 1 species
AGCGAACGCUGGCGGCAUGCUUAACACAUGCAAGUCGCACGGGCAGCAAUGUCCGUGGCGGCCGGGUGAGUAACGCGUAGGAACGUGUCCUGAGGUGAGGGACAACCCCGGGAAACUGGGGCUAAUACCGCAUAUGGGCUGAGGCCCAAAGCCGUGUGGCGCCUUUGGAGCGGCCUGCGUCCGAUUCGGUAGUUGGUGGGGUAAAGGCCUACCAAGCCUGCUAUCGGUAGCUGGUAUGAGAGGACGACCAGCAACACUGGGACUGGAACACGGCCCAGACCCUUACGGAAGGGAGAAAGGGGGAAUAAGGAAAAACGGGUGAAAGACGAAGCCAGCCAGGCCGGGGGACUAAGAAAGUAGUGCGGAACGAAAAUGCCUGUCACCAGGGACGACUAGAAGGUACCCCAUAAAAAAGACCCGGCUAAAUACGUG